rnacentral:tRNA from 1 species
GCACCACUAGCUCAACUGGCAGAGCAGCUGACUCUUAAUCAGCGGGUUCGGGGUUCGAGUCCCCGGUGGUGUA